AGCGAACGCUGGCGGCAGGCUUAACACAUGCAAGUCGAACGGGCGUAGCAAUACGUCAGUGGCAGACGGGUGAGUAACGCGUGGGAACGUGCCUUUUGGUUCGGAACAACUGAGGGAAACUUCAGCUAAUACCGGAUAAGCCCUUACGGGGAAAGAUUUAUCGCCAAAAGAUCGGCCCGCGUCUGAUUAGCUAGUUGGUGAGGUAAUGGCUCACCAAGGCGACGAUCAGUAGCNGGUCUGAGAGGAUGAUCAGCCACACUGGGACUGAGACACGGCCCAGACUCCUACGGGAGGCAGCAGUGGGGAAUAUUGGACAAUGGGCGCAAGCCUGAUCCAGCCAUGCCGCGUGAGUGAUGAAGGCCUUAGGGUCGUAAAGCUCUUUUGUGCGGGAAGAUAAUGACGGUACCGCAAGAAUAAGCCCCGGCUAACUUCGUGCCAG
rnacentral:rRNA from 1 species